CAAUUUUGUGACAGUAUUUCCUUACAAGAGCAGAGAAAGUGAUGUCUGGUCUAACUUGAAUCAAAGACAAGGCGAUGAGUCCUCAAUCUGCAAGGCAGGACAGAGGACCUUGGUGGAAAAAGAUGUGUGCACUAGUGUCACGAGCCGUCCUUGCAGACGGGCUUCGUGGUGGUUCUUAGAUUGAUCUCAGGGUGAAAAAAACCGACACGGUACAAGGGGUUGCAGUAUUAAUUAACACAAAUGCACUUUAUUGAAAUAACCACAGCAAAAAUGCUUCAGGGAGGAAUUGGGGAAAAUAGGGAAAGAUAAGGAAUAAAAGGGAGGAAAAGGAAAAGUAUAUAGCUACCAAACAUGAGAAUGGUGGGGGUCCUUUGGUGUCCAGCCGACGAGGUUCAUGUCCGGGGAGAUCUCGGAGAUGCAGUCCAUUCUGGACCCUAAUUAUACUCUUCUCAUCACAAGGGAAGGAGAUUAUUUCAAAACUGAAUCUAUUGUAUCUUCUGGUAAAAAGAAUGGUAUUUGGAAAAGGGGUACACACAGUCCAUCUCUCAGUGGGUGAGGGCCAUUGUUUUCAUGGUCCAAUGCCUGCACCUGCAAUCAUCCAUCUUGCUUUGGUCAGCUCGCCUCCCCCCUGUGCACCUCCCCCAGGCUGGGGGCUUCAGUCCCAGUCCUUGGGGAGUGUGAAGGAGGCCUUUCUCACAUGGGGAUUUCUCGAGUUUUUCUCUGGUGGAGAGGCUUCUGUCAUCUCAGCUUGUCUGUCACGGUCGUUUUAGAUGAACGAGAGGGGUCUUCUGUGAGGGACCUCCCAAAAGCUCAGGAGAAGUUCAGCCAGGCCAAGAGGUGGGACGGCUUCCAAGGCUAUUGUUGCAAAAAGGGCACAGUGUCCCCUUCUUCUCGUUGGGUUCAGUGUAGCAUGCAGAAAAAUGCACCUGUGGAAACAGUAGCUUAGCAAUCAGGUCUCAGAGCCCCUGGUUUGGCGGGUAAUUUUCCACUGUAUGGCCAGGAAUGGGACAAAGGGGGUCUUCUGAGCGGUCUCUCAAUGACAGUUGUGGGGCAGAUUGGAGGAUAUUUCGGACAGACUUUCACAGCUGGAAGUCUGGCACUUGUAAAAGUGGUCACCACAGGAGUUGAACAGUGCUAAGAGAAUCAUUUUGGUGCUUGAUCAGUUAGGAAAACCUCACAGCUGAAAACAGUAGAGGUUUGUACAAUGGUUUUGAUACUGUAAAUGAUAUGAACAAAUGAGCCUUUGUCAGGUGACCAGAUCAUCUAUGCCUUACCAACAAAACAAGUUAAAUCAACUCCCCUUUUUUGUGGUCAGCAUAACUUGAUUUAUUAACGUCUAGGUCAACAAAGUGAUUGACAGCAGUAUAUAACAAGGCAGCAAAAUCAAUUGUACAAAGAUCUGGAGCUGGAGCUUUGCUGACUCUAUUCUGAUAACCAUGAAUGCACAGAAAACAUCACAGCUGGACUGUGCAAGGGUCAGUGCCCAGCUGAGCCAACAAAGAACUCAUAUGAAGGGAAGGUCUUUCAAGCAUUUCUGGCAGGGCAGUGGAAAGAGGCCCACCACCCUUGAUGAUUCCAGUCACCAUCUCUCCAGUCAUUGUCUGCAGAGGAAUCUGGAUAGGCUGGAUCAAUAGGCCAAGACCAAUGGUAACGGAUGGUCAGCAGAGACAACCCCACUUCUACUCUGAAGUUGCCUGGCUUAUGAAAGGAAAGCUUGAGAUAAAAUCCAUCCUGUGCUCUUGCUGGUGGUUUUUCCCAGAUCCAGAAAGAGUUUACUGGAAUGCAGCAUGCACCCAGCACUGUGAGCUGGAUAUCCCAUUUAUGGGCUUUUAUCCCUUUUUUUGAUGUGUCCUCCUUGUACCUGGUGAUACAUAGAAAUGUAAGACUGGCUUUGAGUGAUUAUUUACAGAAAGGUGAGUUGCUUUCCCAGGUAUUGUUGCUUUCAAGCUUCUCUCUCACCUUGGCAUGAAGCUAUUAUAAGUAUUAACCUCUGGAACACCUUCAUUGCAAUUGAAGCAGCAAAUGGUGCAACACUGGCUUUUAGGAAGGAUGAGUGCCAAUCACUUACUAAAAUUGAUUCGAGUUCUGCCAAGAAUUUUAAACUUUCUAGACACUUUUAAGGAAGAGGAAAGCUGUUUGAAUAAUGAUAAAUGUAAUGGAUACUAUUUUUAAUAUUAAUAUAUAUGUCUGUUCUGGCAUUGUGUUGAGAAGUUCACUUUAAAUCAUUAAGCUUUACAUUAUUAAUUAAUGAUGACACCAUAAAAAUACUAUACUUUGAAGAGGGAUUAAUAUAUAAAUCAUAAUGGUCCUGAUUCAAUUCACAAUGAUUUGAUUUCUCCAUGGGACCUGCAAUCUUAAAGAGACAGGCUGUUAAAGAGAUCAACUAAUUUAUAUUUUGGCUGCUCUUUUAGGUCCAAGUCAAUUAGCUGAAAAUUCUUCAGCCAUAAAAUUCUUGUUCUUUACUAUCUAGGCAAGCCCUUUAAUAACCACACUGCACUUACUGGUACGUAGAUUGGAACUGAAUUCUUUUAAAACUGGAAUUCUAUACCUUAAAAUCUUCCUCCUGUAUUUUUAGCGAGUUUGUCCAUUAUUGGCCAAUACAUGAUGUAUCAAAUAUUUCCAUGAUGCAUCAAAUACUUCCAUGAUGCAUUUUCAUGACUAGCAGUAUGCUAGUGCAGAGCAGUGUGUGUUAUUGAAGGUAUGUAUGGUUUGAACUAUUUAUUUGUCCAUUUAAUUCCUCCUUUUGUUCAAUUAUUUGCCUUCUUUAUUAUUAGUACUUGCCCUUUCAAAGGAGAAAGAGAGCUCAAAUGACCAUCAGCAAGCACAUCAUGAGUAUUUUGGGAAGAUUGCCCUUUAGAGAUGUGCAGACAGUGUGCCCACCUCCCAUUCACAGCACAAAAGGUCUCACUUCAAAUGGUUUUGGGAGAAGAGGAGCCUCCAGUCACCCAACACCGAUGGAUGUCUCUGCUGAGUCACACGCGCCUGCCUCGCGAGCACGGCAGGAUUGGUGCUCUGCCAGGAUGAUACUGUGCCAAAAUUGUGUCCUGUGUGCUGUAAGUGGCCAUUCAUCAAGUGCAACUGAUGACAUCCUGACAAAUGAGUCAGGUUUAUUUGAUAUUAGAGAGUGUUUUCAUUUGCAUGUUGUAAGUGGAACAAUCUCCUGCUUGCUGUGAUCACAGUUUCCCUGUUUCUUUUGCAACACAUACCAGUAUAAUACACCUAAGGUAACACCUACAUUGCAAUCAUUGCUGCAUGCCAGUAGAUUUUACAGGAAUAUUUGACAUGAUCAUAUGUUCCUGUUACCUUAUUUAACACAGUGCUCUCUUAGUACUUUUUUUUUCUCAUAAAUUGUGUCAUUUCUUUUUUUAGGCAAGAAAAGGCUUUUCCUGUCACUUAUUACCUGAGAAGAUGGUAAUGUAUCAUUCAAAAAAAAUUACUAAAGGAAACAAUUCAGGCCACUUUUCUGUGGGCUGUAAUUGGCUACCCAGUGCCCCCUGGGGAGACACCUCCCCACGCAGCAUAUCUCACCCAAGUUAGGGUCACAAGGAACUAUUAGAUCAUCAAACUUGGCCUGAUACAUAUCAAAGGCAUUUAAGUUUCACCCAGGAAUGUCUUGCUUGUUACAUAUUAAGUUUUCAGGCGAAAAAACUACACCAUUGUCUAGUGCUUAGAAGCAGCUGAGGUCACUUAGUUUGUUCAGCCUGGAGUAGAGGGGACUGAGGGGAAACUUCAUUGCAGACACAACUUCCUUGUGAGGGGAAGGGGAGGGGCAGACACUGUUCUCUCCUCUGCAGUGACCAGCGACAGGAUCCAAAGGAUCGGCUUGAGAUUCUGUCAGGGGGGUUUAGGCUGGAUAUCAGGAAAAGGUUCUUCACCCAGAGGUGGCUGGGCACUGGAACAGCUCCCCAGGGAAGUGGUCACAGCAGCAAGCCUGGAAGAGUUCAAGGACAGUGCUCUCAGGCACAUGGUGUGACUUUUGGGGUGAUUCUGUGCAGGGCCAGGAGCUGGACUUGAUGAUCCUUUCAGGACCCUUCCAAUUCAGGAUAUUCUAUAAUUCUAUGUUUUAACAAGAUUGAUCCCUCCCUCUGCCCCAGUAGAAAUAUUUCUUGUUCCCACCAGGUCCAAAGACCCCAUGGCUGCAUUCAGACUGCAAAAUCAAGCAGAGCCAGCUACACACUGCAAAAUAAAGCAGGGUUAACGUGAGCAGUUUGCUCAUGUCCACACCACACGGAGCUUGGAUUUGUACCUCUCCUGAGCAUUACACUUUCUGAUGAGUUCAACAAGUCUGAAGUUAUACAAGUGCUGUGUUGCAACCCAUCAGGGGCAUAGUUUGAUAACAUGACAUGACCUGGGUGUGUUGCAUGCCUCGAGAAAUUGCCUGCAGGUACAAAGUCUGCUGGGAUAACAUUGGAGGAUUGUGUGGGGUGGAGGAGCCAAACCUGACACAGUUUUGCCCAUAAUGCCUAUUGUGAAUGCUCCUUGCAGUCUGCUGCCUUCUGGACUGGGCCAUUGUCUUCUCAAAGUGGGCUAACUGGGACAGGUCAACAACAUGCCACAUACUGACAGCUGCUGCAGUGUUGUUUCACCUAAGGGUUGGUUUACCUAAGACCUGAAGGUCACUGCAGGUAACCAUGCAGAAUUCUGCAGGUUAGCAGAAUUCCUAUAUCUUAUAACUGUGUCAUGCAGCCUUUUGACUGAUAUAGGGAGAAGGUGAUUCCAGCUUAGAAUAUAUACCAGUACAGAAAUGGGACCUAGAGUUCCAGACAGUUGGAAGAUCUGGCUUGUUUUUUCACCCAGAACUCACAAACCCAUGUAGAAGUCACAUGCCUUCCUGGCAGACACAUGUGCAAGUUUUUUGUUUACUAAAAAUGGAUUUUCUUUGAACAUCCAUAAUGAAAAAUUAUUGAUAAUAUAGAAUAAUUCUGUCUUUUCCUCUUGAAAACAUCUACACUGAAUGAAAGAUGAACCUACUUUUACAUCACAGGAGAUUCCUUGAUUUUGUAACAGACUGCCAGACAAGGAAAUGGCUGGAUGUAGAAUUCCCCAGGGUGUCAGAAAAGCUUGAUUUCAGUAGGGUUAUGCUGACAUAAAUACUGAAACAACCCAGUCAUCGAUCAAACAAAAACAGAAAGGCAAUAUUUUACUUGUUUUGAUUACUGCUUUUUUCACAGUAACUUCAUCACAGCCAAAAAUUUAAAAAAAAUUAAAAUUUGUAAUUCUCUUUUUAUAUGUAUAAUAAUUGUAGAGAAUCAUUGAGUGGUUGAUGUUGGAAGGGACCUCUGGAGAUCAUCUUGUCUUCACCCCAGACUCAAGCAUGGCCUCCUACAACCAAUUGCCCAGGACUGUGAAUAGAUCAUGUCUAGACAUAAUUACAGUAACACAGAUAUUUCCUUCUGAUGCUCAUGCAUGAAUUUUUAUUAUAAUUUCAUCAUUGGCUCUUUGAAAAGCAAACUUGUGCUUUUCAUCAUAACCAGACGAACCCUUUGAGUGUCUAUGAGGAAGUCUAAUAAUUUCAGCAGCACUGACCUUGAGAAUUUGUGUACUCCAAGAUUACUCCAAGAUGUUAGAGGUCCCAGAGAGAUUAUUUACCCAUUUGUGGACUAUUAUUUCCUUUUCAAAGUUAUGUUAAUUAAAAGAUUUUCAAUUCCUUUGUUUGGGUAAACAAUUUUGGAAACAUGGACUAAGACUUUCAUGGUCUAGAUUGGUCUUCCUGAAUCUACCAGUUUCUUUAAAGAGUUGUUCACUGGCUGUGAACUGCCUUUUGGGAUUCUUAGCAGUACAGCCCACCCUACUGUUCGUUCUUUCCUUUCUGAUCAUUUUUAAAGAUUACUGCUUUUCCAAUGAGUCCAAAAUUCCCCAAUUUUUACUUAGUUCCAGUUUGAUUCAUGGCAGCACUCAAAACAUCUGUGACCAAAUCAAAGCCGUGAACAAGCAGCAACUUCAAUAGAAUUUAAUCUUUAAGUAAGUAAUUGGGGUACAGCCUGAGAACAUGGUAUUCAUUAAAAAGGGAAGGACUUUUCCUUCUAAAAGCCUUGCUGCUGCAUACAACAGCUUUUCCUGGCCUCACCAUGCUCUAUGGUUCUGCUGCAGACUUCAAUCCAGUUUGCCAUGUCUUAAAUUCUCAAAUGUUUCUCACAGUUCACCUUAAAUAUUGAACUUGAGAAAGAACUUGAGCAUUAGAAUCUUUUCCCAAUGGAAUCAGAGCAUGAUCUUCCUUCUGCAGCCUGGUGACCCUGCUGGACAGGACAGCUCACUGGUCCCUGAUGCUCCACUCACUGCACAAGGGAUCAGCUUGCCUUCCUUACAAGUCCAGAUACCUUAUACUUUAGCACAGUUUUAAAAAGCUAUUUGGAGUCCUGCUGUCACUGCUAUGAACACAGCUUAACAAAAACUAUUAUCUAGCUAUAACAAGAAAUAACACCAUAAAAUGUGUCUCUAGAGAAAAACAGGUUCCUUGUCUGAGUGUGCAAUUUGUUUUUCAGCUGCUUCAAAACCAUAACAGCAGAGCACAACUUUGAGGUCUUACCUGUGAACAAGCAGCAACAGAAAUCUGAUGUGAGGGGAAGCUGCAGCAUGUUUGUGCAACCAUGGCAGAGCAAGGUUAAGACAAGUAUGGAGGUAAAAUAUGUGUUGGCAAUGCCAAAGCAGGUUAUAGGUUAAAAAGGGUCAUUGAUUUUGCAACAAAAGUACUCUGAGUGUAGGUCACAUGUUAGCCUUAACCCAUCAGCCACUUGAUUCAGUAUUGUGGCCUUCCUCAUAACAGUAGUGAACUCUUAAACUGAAAAUGUGAGUAAAAGUUACAGUUAUAAAAAAUUGGACUUUGUAUCAGUAAGCAAGAAUUAGGACUCUUGUACAUAUUUUAGUAAAUUAAUAUGUUAUAACAAUUUUCCUUGUUGCUGAGAUCCACCCAAGAUUGUCCCUAGUAAGCUGCAUGACAAGAUGCAAAGGUUUGGAACAGGCCACUGUGCACAUGAAUCACACCCACUGCAGAGUUUUUGCUUCAACAACUGAGCUGCUGCUAGGUACUGCUGAGGCCAUAUCCUAGGGAUGACUAAAGGAUGCCUACUCCAUUCUCUGUUUUCCAUUUUAAACAAAAAAUCAGCACAAAUCAUCACAAAUGCUAAGCCUUUUGGGACAAGAGGGCAAACACCAAGGAUUUUGAACUUUUGUUCCUAAUCCUAAUUAGAAAACCUCACUGAUAAUGUUUUCAUCAUUGUUUGCACCAUCUUGAAUUUAAUAGGUUCCACUUAACUGGCUUUAACAAAGAACCAGAUAAAGAAAGCUCCAAAUAGGCAAUUUAUUGAGUUAUUUUCCCACCACUUCUUAAACUGAGCUGAAAGAUUGCAUUUUGUUUGAAAUGUGAGAAAAGGUGCAGAAGACAUUAUGUAACUGAUGCCAGUACCUAAAUGUCCAUUGGUUUCUAUAGGCCCAGGAUUCAUAUGUGGUCUGAUUUUUGUUCAUAGGUGUUUCAUUAUUCAUCACAAAUCAUGGACUCACAAACCCAAGGCCCUGCUGCUUUCGAUGUUGUACAAAUGCAAGAGAUUUCUUCACUUUCUGUCUCUCUCCAGAGCUGCACUUCAUAAUUAUAUGUAAGAUACAAAUCUACUUAGAAGAGAACUCAUUUCGUGUGACUCAGUUGUAAGAGACAGAUGGGGCCACGUUUACAGCCAGGUAAAUUCUUUGUUGUUAGAAUUUUACAGGGUAUUGAACAACUUUCACAAAUGCAUCCAAGGUAAAGAAAGGGCUCCACCUCCAGUUGUUUUGGAGCCUGUGUGUAACAAACAAAAUGCUGUACUUCUUGUGCCUUGAUGCAGAUCUGCCCAGAGCAUUGCAGUGCCAAACAUGGACAGCUGAGCAGCCUCAGGUGCCAAAAGGAAAAAGGCCACAAUGGCUCAGUGCUGCCCUAAGGUGGAGAAGCAGGCUGAAAGUAAAUAAUUUGUAUGCUUUGUGUGGCAGGAGUACCCAGGGAGACGUCAGUGCCACGCAGCACAUGCAACCAUUUUGCCCACAUUCUCUCUUGUAAGAAAGAAAGUUGCAUCAAGCUUCAGGGUUGUCCUGUGCAGGGCCAGGAUCUGGACUCGGUGAUAUUUGUGUGUCACUUCCAAAUCAGGGUAUUCUAUGUGAUGCUCCAGAAAAAGCCUGUUCUAAGAGGUAAAUUGGAAAUGUAAAACAUAUCAAAACCCCUCAUUUUCUAGAAAAUUGUUCCAAUUAAUUAACAAGAGACAUAAAACCAAACUCAGCCUUUGAGCUGCCAAAUGCUGUGACACAGGUAUUUCCUUGCAGAGCUGAGUCUUGGGGCACUUGGAGAACAGUCAGGAAAACCCAUCACAGAGUAUUUGAUUUAAUCCUUACUAAUAAAUCAACAGGGGUUUCACUAGAAGACUGUAUGUGGAAUUAUUUUAUUCCCAGCUUCACCAUCCAUGCUUUCUGUCCAGCAACACUCACUUUUUGAGGUCUUGUGAUUAAAUCUGACCUGCCAAUUCUGUGGAAAUUUCCUACUCCUGUUACUGCUCAGCCUCUUUGAUGCUGUGUCUGUCAGAACAGCCACUCGGUGCACUGAGAGAGAGAAUACUCCUCAUCUUGACAGAGUAUAUGGACAGCCCUACACCAACAUGUAAUUAUGUUGAAACUUGUCCUCUUUUAACCUUACUGUUGCUAUUUCAAGAGCAAUUUUCAUUUAUACAAAUUAGACCCUGUGAAGCACGCAAAUAUCAACUAAAUGUGAACUCAUGGAAAUUUCUCCUUGCUGAACAGCAUCAUUUGAGCAAUUCAGAAGACUAGUAUUUCCU